rnacentral:lncRNA from 1 species
CAGGCUUUCCCCAAAGAGGUGAUUCGAACUGCUACGCCAGGCUCUCCAGGAUGCUGGGGCCUGGAUGUUCUGAACUGACUGCACAUAUAAGCUCAUCUUGGACCUUUCCUCUGAGAAUCUGGUGUCCCAAGGAGAGAGACCUUCUUAAAUGAUUGCUCUCAAAUUCACGGGAAUUGAACAGGAAGAAAUUUUUCUUGGCAUUCUCUAAUAUUUUCUCACUUUCUGGCAGAUUUUUUUUUUUCCACUAAAAGAACAGAAAGCGAAGGAAGCGGAGAAAGUCUCACAGGCAUUUUGAUUUUGCAGAUGCCUACUUAUACACGACCUUGGAGAAAAAAGCAUCCAGCACGGCAGAAAUUCCAGGGACUAAUAUUGAGAUGAACCAGGCAUGGAGACCAAGCUGCAAAAUUCCAGAAAUGACCUCCAGGUUGUUAGUCUACAACCCAGCCAUCGUCAAGAUAACAUUAGACUGCGUUCCAGGUGGACCAUGACUCAAGAUAGCCACCAGACCAAGGCACGGACACCUAGCACCCAGCACCACUCCUGCAUGCCUCCCACUCUAAGUUCCCCUUUAUAAACACCUCUCCACAGUCGAAAGUUUGAAAUCGUCUUUUAAGGGCAUGAGCUUGGCCAUUCCCAGAUCUUGGCAUUUGAAUAAAGUAGCUCUCUGUUCAUCACA